rnacentral:rRNA from 1 species
AGUGAACGCUGGCGGUAGGCCUAACACAUGCAAGUCGGACGGCAGCACAGUAAGAGCUUGCUCUUACGGGUGGCGAGUGGCGGACGGGUGAGGAAUACAUCGGAAUCUACUUUUUCGUGGGGGAUAACGUAGGGAAACUUACGCUAAUACCGCAUACGACCUACGGGUGAAAGCAGGGGAUCUUCGGACCUUGCGCGAUUGAAUGAGCCGAUGUCGGAUUAGCUAGUUGGCGGGGUAAAGGCCCACCAAGGCGACGAUCCGUAGCUGGUCUGAGAGGAUGAUCAGCCACACUGGAACUGAGACACGGUCCAGACUCCUACGGGAGGCAGCAGUGGGGAAUAUUGGACAAUGGGCGCAAGCCUGAUCCAGCCAUACCGCGUGGGUGAAGAAGGCCUUCGGGUUGUAAAGCCCUUUUGUUGGGAAAGAAAAGCAGCAGGUUAAUACCCCACUGUUCUGACGGUACCCAAAGAAUAAGCACCGGCUAACUUCGUG